rnacentral:rRNA from 1 species
AACGAACGCUGGCGGCAUGCCUAACACAUGCAAGUCGAACGAGACCUUCGGGUCUAGUGGCGCACGGGUGCGUAACGCGUGGGAACCUGCCCUUAGGUUCGGAAUAACUCCCCGAAAGGGGUGCUAAUACCGGAUAAUGUCUUCGGACCAAAGAUUUAUCGCCUUUGGAUGGGCCCGCGUUGGAUUAGCUAGUUGGUAGGGUAAAGGCCUACCAAGGCGACGAUCCAUAGCUGGUCUGAGAGGAUGAUCAGCCACAUUGGGACUGAGACACGGCCCAGACUCCUACGGGAGGCAGCAGUGGGGAAUAUUGCACAAUGGGCGAAAGCCUGACGCAGCAAUGCCGCGUGAAUGAUGAAGGUCUUAGGGUUGUAAAGUUCUUUUACCCGGGAUGAUAAUGACAGUACCGGGAGAAGAAGCCCCGGCUAACUCCGUG